AUUUUUAGAAACGUUGGCAAAGGGUAAAGUCUACAAAAAGCAGUCUAUCUUGUUUUAUUUUUUUAAGAGAGAUUUUAAUUUAGGUAACAAACUGUAUGGAGAUGAAAUGUUUCAUCGAUGAGAAAAAUGUGCAGAACUUCGGCCAAAUCCAUCUCGCUUCAUCUUCUCCCACUUGGCUUCCUCUCAUCACCAUAUUUGGUAGUGAGUGGAAAACGCCAGCCGGAUGCUUCACAUUUAUCUGUGCCUUCUCCUUUAAUGAGGGGUACGGACCUCCCAAGGAUUCCAGAUAGCGAAGGCAGAUUGAAAAAGGCAACAAUUUAGCCCUCUCCAAGGAUGUAUUCAUUAAGGAAACCUUUUGCCGUUUAACAACGGAAACGGGGAGGGACCUACUUGAAUUUGUCCAAUAGAAACUAUCGUUUACGCUUUCCUUUUGGAGUAGACUGUUUCUGUUGCAAAAUCAGACGAAACGUUUUGCAACAGAAUUGGAGUAAUGAUUACAACCCAGCUCUAGCCAUAGGUUCGAUUUAAGGACGGGGGCUGCGGAGAACACCGAUACUUUUGAGUAACAAACGCCAUGCGUAGGCUACGUCCUUGAGGAAUUAAAUGACAGUUCGAGGUGUUUAAAUAAACAAAAAAAAACAACAACAAGCAAAGCCUUUUUGCGGGGCCAUUUCUAUGAAAAAAUGCUGGGUCUUCUUGUGAGAGCAGUGCUAAGGUCAGGCUUGGUGAAGCCAUAUCACCUGGUCAAGCCAGUGUCAGUGACUAUCCUCCCAGAGAGGUCUUCGCACCACCAGGAUAAUUUGCCUAAGCUGCCAGUGCCUCCACUGAGGCAGACAUUUGAGCGCUACCUGUUGAUGCUGGAGCCCCUGCUCAGUGAGGAGGAGCUGGAUCACACACGCAAGCUGGUCAAGGAGUUCCUCAUUCCUGGUGGGGUGGGAGACAGGUUGCAGAGAAGCCUGGAGCGCAGAGCCAGCAACAAAGGAAAUUGGCUCACAGAGUGGUGGAUGCAGUCAGCCUAUCUGGAUUCCCGGAUGCCUGUGGCAGUCUAUUCCAGCCCAGGGGUGGCCCUGCCCCGCAUGACCUUCCAAGAUCGUCAAGGACAAAUGAGGUUUGCUGCAAAAUUGAUUGCAGGGGUUUUGGACUUCAAAAAAAUGAUUGACAGUGAGACGUUGCCUAUUGAGUAUUUGGGUGGGAAGCCUCUGUGUAUGGACCAGUACUACCAGAUCCUGUCCUCCUGUCGUAUCCCUGGACCAAAGAGAGACACUGUGGUCAACCACGCUGUCGGGAAAGUGGCCCCUACUCACAUCACUGUGGUCCAUAACUUCCAGUUCUUUAUCCUGGAUAUGUAUAACAGCGAUGGCUCCCCACUGACGGUGGACCAGAUCUACAUGCAACUGGAGAAGGUCUGGAACUCGUCCCUGCAGAGCAACAAGGAGCCUAUCGGCAUCCUGACCUCCCAGCACCGCAACACCUGGGGCAAAGCCUACAACAACCUCAUCAAAGACAAGACAAAUAAGGAGUCAGUCCGUGCUAUCCAGAAGAGCAUAUUCACGGUGUGUCUAGACGCCCCCAUGCCACAGAUGUCUGAGCAGCGGUACCAGAGUCGGGUCGCUGCCCAGAUGCUACAUGGUGGAGGGAGUCGCUGGAACAGUGGCAACCGCUGGUUUGAUAAGACGUUACAGUUUAUUGUGGGUGAAGAUGGUACAUGUGGUCUGGUGUAUGAGCAUGCCCCAGCUGAAGGCCCACCCAUUGUGUUCUUGGUGGACCAUGUGGUUGAGUACAUGAGGAGGAUGGAGGUAGUACGCACUCCCAUGACCCCUCUGCCCAUGCCUCCCAAACUGCGUUUCAACAUCACACCUGAGGUGAAGAAGGAUAUUGAGUCGGCCAAGCAGAAUAUGAACAUAAUGUCACAUGACUUGGAUGUGAACGUGGUCUUCUUUUCUGACUAUGGGAGAAAUGUUCCAAGGGCACACAAGUUGAGUCCAGAUGCCUUUAUACAAAUGGCUCUACAGCUUGCCUACUUCAGAAUGUAUAAGAUGUGCUGUUCUACCUAUGAGAGUGCGUCCUUGCGUAUGUUUGCACUUGGUCGAACAGACACCAUCCGCUCCUGCUCCAACGAGUCACUCAAAUUUGUCCAGGCGAUGGAGCACCCAGCUAAACCGAAUGCAGAGAAGGUUUUUCUAUUGGACAAAGCAUGCCAAGCCCACAGAGAAUAUACUCAUAUGGCAAUUCAUGGCCAGGCCAUAGACAGACAUCUCCUUGGCCUAAAGUUGCAGGCGAUUGAAGAACUGACUUCCAUGCCAGAGAUAUUCAUGGACACAGCCUAUGCUGUGGCUGAGCAUCCCAAUCUCUCCACCAGCCAGGCUGGUGCUAAGACGGACUGUGUGAUGUGCUUCGGUCCAAUGGUGCCGGAUGGCUAUGGAGUGUGUUACAACCCCAUGGCUGACCACAUCAACAUUGCCAUUACAGCCUUCAACAGCUGUGAAGAGACACAUGCUGCCAACUUUGGCCGGGGUGUGAAGAAGGCUCUGAGAGACAUGAGGUCUCUGCUGGAGGAAACAGCUAAUGCUAAGCAGUGAAACCCCACAGGGGACAUGGCUCCUCUGUAGGGCUGUGUGGGACUGAACCUGUGCUGGAUGUAGUGGGAGAAACUAAAGCCACCUUGGUAUAUCUAGUGCUGUAACAUGGAGAGAGGAGAAGCACUUUGCACUGAUUUAGGUGGGCCUUGGAAAGCUUUUGGGCCCUUCAGGUAGACUUGAUAUGUGUGGGAAGGAAAGUCCUGUUAUACCCAGGAGACUAUAUCUGUACUUCAGUGAAAAGUGAGUAUGACUGAUGGAAAGUAAUACAUUUCAUGUGUAAUGAUAUGGGUUUGUCCAUUUCCAGAUAGUUGGCACCUUAUGUUAAAGAAAGAUCCACACCAGAUCAUGGUGACUAUAUUAUGUUUUAAAAAAAUGUUUAUUUUUUAUUUUUAAGUCUACACAUGUUGGUGCUGUCUUAAAUAUUAUUCUGGUGGUUUUUACAUGCAUUUAUACAGUUUGUUUACCUACAUACUUGGGUAAAAUUUCAUAUUUAAAAAAUAAUCAGUUCAACAGUUAAGUUAUUUAAGAAAUGAAAUUGUGUGCCAUACUAUACCAGAUGAGCCAUAAUAAUGACUUGCUGAGUGGUUCUGCUGUGAUUCACAUUGGUAAAUGUGUUCUAUACAACUAAAAAAAACUAAACCAAAGACUGCUGUAAUGAUAAUCAUUUACACUUUGAGUAUUUAUUUUAAUGUUACAAAACCUGACAAAUGAUUAAACUAAGGAAAAACUGUCCUCCAGUAACUGCCUAAAUGUCAUUAAAUACUGUAUAAUAGGCAAGCCACAGAUCAAGGCUCCACAAAUGAGUAUUUUGCUCGGAAGCUACCCUUGCUAUACAGGUACUUGCCAUGGAAUUCUAUCGCCACCAUGUUUCCAGCUGAGCGCUAGUGAAAGAGCUGUUGGCCCUUGAACAUGUUGGUCUUCAAGACAUCUACAUCUCGUAUGUAAUGCAGAUGGUAUUGGAGACAUCAUGUUUUUUACAAUGACAUACAUGUCAAGAUGAAGGUUCAUUGUUUAAUUUACACUCAACUAGAUAGUUCUGUUUUGAUUCUUCAAUAUUUCAAUGCAAACUGUCUCCCUCUUCCCUCACCAUAAUGAAGGUGGGCUGCUGUGCUGUUGUCCAUGGGGCCCAUGUGCAGAGGCUGGAUCCUGAUCUUUACUGAGGGAGGGGCAUUGAUGAGCACUUGAAAGGUGAGACGGCCCAAAGCUGAGGUCAUCGUUGGAUUCUCAAUGACUCUGCUGGGAGCAAACAGCUGGACAUCAGUCUAUGGGAGCAACACUGAGAGGCAUAUGGCCCAUGGCCGCUCCGUACCGUCAUACCCUGGUGAUGAGUGGUUACUCUUCUUGGAGGUCUUCUGACUGCUGUAAGUGAGCAACACUGUUUCCAGGAGACCGGAGAGUCCAGCAGGAUGUUGGUCCUGGAGGGAGAUCAGACUGGGCAGCCAGCAACUCCCGUUGGCCCUGAGGAGGAGAACAAACUGGUUGCCAGGCUGGUGAACUUUCAAGGUGAAACCUGCUACAUCUCACAUCUGACAGAGUAUGCACUGUAUAUAUAGGGUGAUUGUUAACCCAUUAGACUACUGUAUCUUACUUAUGCCAUACUGUCAUAAAACAUACAUGAGUGGAGAAGUUAUUUUAAUAAGUAUUUUAGGCCAGCAAGUGGUCAGACCAAACAAUGCCAUUAAAUCCAGGAACAAAUUUGACAUGCUUUUUUUGCUGCCAUACUCAAUCAUGUCAGUUUGCUCUUAAAUUGUGUCAGAUUGUCUACUUUUGUGAACUUUCUUCUUUCACUUCAUCUAGUAUGAUGUCUUUCACUUAAGUUCAAGUUGUAUUAGUAUGUACAGGAUACACAUGGUAUACACCGUCCAAUGAAAUGCUUGCUUAGUCAUGGAGACAGAAUUGUUUAGUUCAAAGUGACGUUUUAUGAAUUCAUUUUUGAUUUAUCCACUGGGCACAAACUGGUUGAAUCAACGUUUCCACAUCCAUUUAUACCCCAAAAAUCCAUGUGAUGUUGAAUCAACGUGGGAAACUGAUUAGCUUCUAAAAAAAAAAUAAUAAACAUGAGAGCAUUUCGUCUCUUUUUUUCACCCAACGUGUUAACCUAAAUCCAAUAAUAUAGUGUUAUGUUUUUGUUGAUUUCACUUUGAAUUCACGUCAGUUGACAACUCAACCAAAUUUAAAUCAAAACUAUAGACAUUGACCUGAUGUUUGUGCCCAGUGGGUAUUGUGUUGUAUUAAAGGCAUUUGAUUAAAUGAAAUGGGUAAAAACACCCUCUAGGGUUUAUUUCCAUGUUUUUCCUGGUAUUGGUAUAUUAGCAGUGAGUAUUUACAUUCUAAAUAGACUUAUUUUACCCUGACAGUGCUCAACCCAGCCUACACUGCAGCAUGAUUAUGGAGGGAAAAUAAUUGCCCCCGUUGAGAUCAUAGUUCCCAGACAAUGUUCUAAUUAACCAGAAAUGUUAACUGACAGGAAAAGAGAAAUGAGUGUGUAAUUCACUUACUGUUAAUAAAGACAUGAUUAUUUGUC